rnacentral:rRNA from 1 species
UACGGGGGGGGGCAAGCGUUGUUCGGAAUUACUGGGCGUAAAGGGUGCGUAGGCGGCGGAGUAAGUUGGGUGUGAAAUCCCGGGGCUUAACCUCGGAAUUGCAUUCAAUACUGCUUCGCUCGAGUACUGGAGAGGAGGCUGGAAUUUACGGUGUAGCAGUGAAAUGCGUAGAUAUCGUAAGGAAGGCCGGUGGCGAAAGCGAGCCUCUGGACAGUUACUGACGCUGAUGCACGAAGGCCAGGGGAGCAAACGGG